GUCAGCCCUUUAUUUUCGACCAUCUAGUGGUCCAAAAAGUUUCAUACCACUGUCCAAAUCUUGAUCGGUAUGAUACAUACCUGGGGCAGAUUUCGCACAUCAGAGAAAAAACCGUAAACGGGCCCGGCCUAGUAGAGAGCCCAGUCCAAUAGAUUGGUCCAGCCCAACAACUACCGAUCGAAGAGGGUAAAGGCGAGAGUUCUAUCCCCUGGUUCUUCCAUCAGACCGUCACUGAGGUGCCGCCGCCAUUCUCUGCCCUUCCCCAACUCCGGCGACCGUCCCCUCGCCCCCUUCGUUCGGCAUGACGGUCUGAUGUAGACCUACCCCUUCCGCCAUUACAUUCCCUAAUACUGUCCCAGUGGCGCCGUGGCGGCGGCCUUGGCCCUUGGCAUCGGCAUGGGUCCAAGAUCGAAGGUGCCGUCGUCGUCGCUCGCCAAGGAGGCCAAGCCCACCCAGUGGCGGCGCCAGGAUAGAUGCUAGGAGCAACAUGUUGAGGCCAGGACGCCCGAAGAAGCCAAGAUCUCCUCAGUGAAGCCCUCAAAGCUCAAGGUUGGCUGAGUUGCAUAAGCUCCUUAUAGCCCAGGAGAGAUUAAAAUUAGCAUUGGUCUGUCGUGUUGCGGUAUUGGUUUGUUAGCUUAGUUGUAAACAGUAAAGGUGUACGAAAACCUUGUACCGAGAUCAAUUUAUUUUUACCAUAACAUAGUAGAAUAAUAUUAUGUACCGUAGAGGUGAAUUGAGGAAUAA